rnacentral:rRNA from 1 species
GGGCCCGCACAAGCAGUGGAGUAUGUGGUUUAAUUCGAAGCAACGCGAAGAACCUUACCAGGGCUUGACAUCCCUCUGACGGCUAUAGAGAUAUAGCUUCUUUUCGGAGCAGAGGAGACAGGUGGUGCAUGGUUGUCGUCAGCUCGUGUCGUGAGAUGUUGGGUUAAGUCCCGCAACGAGCGCAACCCCUGUUGUUAGUUGCCAUCAUUCAGUUGGGCACUCUAACGAGACUGCCGGUGAUAAAUCGGAGGAAGGUGGGGAUGACGUCAAAUCAUCAUGCCCCUUAUGUCCUGGGCUACACACGUACUACAAUGGCGAUAACAGAGGGAAGCAAAGCCGCGAGGCGGAGCAAAUCCCCAAAAGUCGCCCCAGUUCAGAUUGCAGGCUGCAACUCGCCUGCAUGAAGUCGGAAUUGCUAGUAAUGGCAGGUCAGCAUACUGCCGUGAAUACGUUCCCGGGCCUU